rnacentral:rRNA from 1 species
UACGUAGGUGGCGAGCGUUGUCCGGAUUUACUGGGCGUAAAGAGCGUGUAGGCGGCUCGGUAAGUCCGCUGUGAAAGUCCAGGGCUCAACCCUGGAAUGCCGGUGGAAACUGUCGAGCUAGAGUCCGGAAGAGGCGAGUGGAAUUCCUGGUGUAGCGGUGAAAUGCGCAGAUAUCAGGAGGAACACCAUGGCGAAGGCAGCUCGCUGGGACGGUACUGACGCUGAGACGCGAAAGCG